UGUCGUCUUACUCUCUUUUUAUUACAUAUUUUCUUAAUUAAAAGGAAGAACAAUUAAAAGAAAGGACGCAAGUGACAGUAAUUCGAUAGCAUUAUGGAAACGUAAAAAAGUUAUUAAAAAUUUUAUUUUUAGUAUUGUCAGAUAAAUAGUUACCAAAAUGUUUAAAAUAAAUUCUUGUGAUAAAAUAUUGUAAAUAAAAAAUAAAUUUCAAUUUCGAAACAAUACUGUGAUGGUCGGCAAGAAAUUUUUUAUUUUAAUGAAAUUAUACAUUUAUGUAUGUUUCAGAGAAAAUAAGAAAAUAAUGAGAUGAGUGAUCUUGAAAGAGUUCGAGUUUUAGUUGUUGGGGACAGUGGUGUCGGAAAAACUGCUCUUACCAACCUAAUCUGUCACGGAGCAGCUUUGAAUAAUCCAGGCUGGACAGUUGGAUGUUCUGUUGAGGUUAAACUUCAUGAAUACCUGGAGGGAACUGUCAAUCAGAAAACGUACUGCAUUGAACUUUGGGAUAUUGGGGGCAGUCAUGCGCAUAGAAAUACGCGGCAUGUAUUUUAUAAUGUAGUACAUGGUAUAAUCCUGGUACAUGAUCUCUCAAACCGGAAAUCCUGUUUGAACCUGAACCGUUGGCUAGCUGAGGUGACAAGAUGUGAGUCUGGAUCCGGCAAAUUUGGAUCCCGAGGCGGAGGAGGCGGAGGAACAGCCGCCGCCUGGGAGGAUGGAAAUAUAUCAGGGACGGAUAUCGGAGAGGUUGCUAUCCCUCUACUAGUGAUGGGAACUAAAAUGGAUUCUGCUCAAGAAAAACGUGGUCUCCCAACUCAUCAGAAAAGAUCUGAUAUUGCGGAGGAAUUCGGAGUUGAAGAAAUUCAUCUUAACACUGGAGAUCCAAGUGGACUUGCUGCAGGAACAAGCUCUGCUGCUAAACUUACAAGGUUUUUCGAUAAGGUGAUAGAAAAACAGUUUACUGAUUCUAGAAGAAAAGGAAGUUUAACGCAUAUACAACCAACCGACAGACGGCGUAUGGAGAAGGUGCCGAGUGUCCUCUCAGACCGCACUUCAAGUCUCCAGUUUUCUUCUGUUUUGCAUUAACCUGCCUCGAUAAUUCUAUAUCCGACCUCCAGAUCAGAUUAUUCUAUAUCCGACCUCCAGAUCAGAUUAUUCUAUAUCCGACCUCCAGAUCAGAUUAUUCUAUAUCCGACCUCCAGAUCACAUUAUUCUAUAUCCGACCUCCAGAUCAGAUUAUUCAAUAUCCGACCUCCAGAUCAGAUUAUUCUAUAUCCGACCUGCAGAUCAGAUUAGAGAAUUUAUUUAUUUAGAAAAAUUGUAACAUUUUAAGCGAAAUAUGAUUGUUGAUGAAUAUCAGGUAUGUUUGCCGCUAGCUUUUACACUCUGCACAGUAUGUACAGUAUGUACAGUGUACACAAUUAUUCAAUGUGUCCUCAUAUCUAUAUAUAUAUACUUUGCUGC